rnacentral:rRNA from 1 species
CCUACGGUGGGCAGCAGUGAGGAAUAUUGGUCAAUGGGCGGGAGCCUGAACCAGCCAAGCCGCGUGAGGGAAGAAGGUACAGCGUAUCGUAAACCUCUUUUGUCAGGGAACAAGGCGGGGACUAUUCCCCGGAUGAGGGUACCUGAAGAAAAAGCAUCGGCUAACUCCGUUCCAGCAGCCGCGGUAAUACGGAGGAUGCGAGCGUUAUCCGGAUUUAUUGGGUUUAAAGGGUGGGCAGGCGGCCUGUAAAGUCAGCGGUAAAAGCCCGGGGGUCAACCCCGGCCAGCCGUUGAAACUGGCGGGCUGGAGUGGGAGAGAGGUACGCGGAAUGCGCGGUGUAGCGGUGAAAUGCUUAGAUAUCGCGCAGAACCCCGAUUGCGAAGGCAGCGUACCGGAUCAACACUGACGCUGAGGCACGAAAGCGUGGGUAUCGAACAGGAUUAGAUACCCGGGUAGUC